UACGUAGGGUGCGAGCGUUGUCCGGAUUUACUGGGCGUAAAGAGCGCGCAGGCGGUCGUAUAAGUCGAAUGUGAAAGCCCCCGGCUCAACUGGGGAGGGUCAUUCGAUACUGUUCGACUCGAAGGCAGGAGAGGGAAGUGGAAUUCCGGGUGUAGUGGUGAAAUGCGUAGAUAUCCGGAGGAACACCAGUGGCGAAGGCGACUUUCUGGCCUGUUCUUGACGCUGAGGCGCGAAAGCUAGGGGAGCGAACGGG
rnacentral:rRNA from 1 species